rnacentral:lncRNA from 1 species
AAUACUGUGAGAAACAUGAGGUAAACUGAGCCACAGGGAGGACUGCAAUGUCAACCUCACCUAGAUGUCUACAAUACCUUACUCCAAAAAGAUUCUCACGGUGACAGAGUUUUGACUUUGUGGAAAAGGAAACUGCGAUCUAUAUUUGAAAAAAAAAAUUAUCUAAAAAGAGUACCUGUUGCUGCCAGUGAAUCACCAGCUAAGGAAGAAGCCUUAUGUGGGAGUACAGCCACUUGUCUUCUCCA